GACGAACGCUGGCGGCGUGCUUAACACAUGCAAGUCGAACGGAAAGGCCCUGCUUUUGUGGGGUGCUCGAGUGGCGAACGGGUGAGUAACACGUGAGUAACCUGCCCUUGACUUUGGGAUAACUUCAGGAAACUGGGGCUAAUACCGGAUAGGAGCUCCUGCUGCAUGGUGGGGGUUGGAACGUUUCGGCGGUUGGGGAUGGACUCGCGGCUUAUCAGCUUGUUGGUGGGGUAGUGGCUUACCAAGGCUUUGACGGGUAGCCGGCCUGAGAGGGUGACCGGCCACAUUGGGACUGAGAUACGGCCCAGACUCCUACGGGGGGCAGCAGUGGGGAAUAUUGCACAAUGGGCGGAAGCCUGAUGCAGCAACGCCGCGUGCGGGAUGACGGCCUUCGGGUUGUAAACCGCUUUCGCCUGUGACGAAGCGUGAGUGACGGUAAUGGGUAAAGAAGCACCGGCUAACUACGUG
rnacentral:rRNA from 1 species